rnacentral:rRNA from 1 species
CUACGUGCCAGCAGCCGCGGUAAUACGUAGGUGGCAAGCGUUGUCCGGAAUUAUUGGGCGUAAAGGGCUUGUAGGCGGUUGGUCGCGUCUGCCGUGAAAUCCUCUGGCUUAACUGGGGGCGUGCGGUGGGUACGGGCUGACUUGAGUGCGGUAGGGGAGACUGGAACUCCUGGUGUAGCGGUGGAAUGCGCAGAUAUCAGGAAGAACACCGGUGGCGAAGGCGGGUCUCUGGGCCGUUACUGACGCUGAGGAGCGAAAGCGUGGGGAGCGAACAGGAUUAGAUACCCUGGUAGUCCACGCUGUAAACGUUGGGCACUAGGUGUGGGGGCCACCCGUGGUUUCUGCGCCGUAGCUAACGCUUUAAGUGCCCCGCCUGGGGAGUACGGCCGCAAGGCUAAAACUCAAAGGAAUUGACGGGGGCCCGCACAAGCGGCGGAGCAUGCGGAUUAAUUCGAUGCAACGCGAAGAACCUUACCAAGGCUUGACAUGC